rnacentral:lncRNA from 1 species
GAUAAGAUAAGGGAUCAAUCCAACGAUAAAUAAAUACCUCAUCCCCUAAGUUAACCAUAAAUAAUAUCUGACCCGUGAAAUGUUGAAUUAGCAUCUUUAAAAUGUUGAAUUAGGUUCGCAGUUAUAAGAAAAUGUUGAAGUAUGAAUCACAUGUGGGAAAAUCUGGGUAAGGUGGGAGUAGCAAGUAAAAAAAUAAUAUUUGAUCUUCAUGUAAUGUUGAGUUACCCUAUUCAAAAUGUUGAUAUAGGGUUAGCAUGCAGAUUGUUGAAUUAAGCUUAAGAAAAUGUUGAAUAAUAUUCGUGGGAGGAGAUUGAUGUGCUGCAAUGGUUGUGUUAGAUGGGUCUAAUGAGUUUUAAAAUUAUACUCCCUCUGUUCCAAAUUAUAAGUCAUUUUAACUUUCCUGGAGAGUCAAAGUAUCUAAAGUUUGACCAAAUUUAUAUAAUAAAGUACUAACAUUCAUGAUACCAAAUAAGUACCAUUAGUUUCUUUAUUAAAUAUAUUUUCAUAGUAUAUCUAUUCGGUGCAAUAAACCUUUGUAAUCCUUUCUAUAAUUUUGGUCAAAUACUUCAAAAAAGUCGGAAUGACUUAUAAUUUGGAACGGAGGGAGUAGGAUUUAACUACCUUGCGGAAGCUACAUAUGAGGCCCCCCCAUAUUAUUCAACAGAGAGUAUUUUUUCGAAGAGAAAUUUUAGAGUGCUUGAAAAAAAUGAGAGCCGUCCAUCCGAUGAAAUCAAACGGUGGAAACAAAGGAAGUACCAUGAAGUAUCUAAAGAAAAGUACCAAUUUGGUAGGACCAAGUACCAAAAAUAGUGAGAAAUUACUAUAAUAUCAUUUUAAUUAUGUGUAACUUUAUUUAAUUCUUUUUAAAGAAGGAUAAGAAAUGAAAGCAUUGCAGUACCACUGGUACUUUAAAAGCAUUGUAACAAAGCUCUUUUUUCUAAAUCUUUGGUCAACCUCAUUUAGCCAUGACCACGCAUUGGUGGGAUGCAAAUUUGUGAGGUUAAGCCAAAAGAACUACUAUAUCCUGGCACAAUGCCACAAUGGUCUUCGUAGAAAUGAUGCUGUAUCGUUACAUCAAAAAUGUUUUGUACUUGCCCUAUACGUUUCACUAUACUGUAUUUUAUAAGAACGGCUCAUUUUGUGCAAUUAAUUAAAGAUCCUUAGUUUGAAAGGAGUUUUGGUUUGUUUGGAUAGCAGGUUACAUAACAGGUUUGUUGGAUUUGGGAUGGCAUCAAUGUCGAACAAGCAACUGUCGCCAUAUCACCGCUGAGCGUUCUUGGGCUCCUGGCCGCACGCGCAUCAUCCAUCCAUGUAAACGUAUGAUCCAAAAUUUGGUGGACCCCCUAGGCCUCGCUCCUCAUCAUCGACGUAAUGUUGGUGCCCUGUCAUGCGCAGUCUUAAUUAAAUUUGCCCACCUGCCCGGGGCCCGGCGGGCAGGAAACGAGAUAAUGGUGUACGUCCUGGCCCCGGUGUCCGAUAGAGAUAUCGACGAGUCCUAAAUCUGAAGCAUGAAGACAAUGCCUUCAUAUCAAACGAACAGGAUGCCAGUUCGAUCUCUGUGAUGCACGAAAUUUGCAUGGAAAAUAUGUUUUUUAACGAACAGUACAAGACGGUGCCUAUUUUAUUGAUACAAAGGGAUAGUUACAGCCGGCUCACCAGUAAAAUUAAUUAAGAAAAAAGACUACAUAAAUGAUGUGUUCAAUCUCGCGCUAGGAGGCCUGCAAGGCUUUUUGCCCCGGCUGCAAUCCACACGCUUCCUGAACCCUUGAUUUUUACCAAAAUUGACGUUACUGAUGAUUCCCGGUGCUGGAAGAUUCUCAAGUUCCUUUCCUUCCAUACCUCCCAAAUAAUCAGUAGCAUUAUACUACGUGUCGCCUUUUAUGAAAUUCCUGACGUCGAUGUGAUGUUAGACCACCAUUCCAGGCAUGUCGUACUCUGAGGCUAUUCAUCCGGGACAAGCUUCUCCUGCGAGCUCCAGGAGACAACAUGUGUCCAUAUGCGUCUGCCACUAGUUAGGCCUGCUCAUGGGGGGUUUACCCGCCUCACACCCGCCUCUACCCACAAUUAAUUAGGCAGUUCUGCUGACCCACCCCGCCCCAUAUAUUUAACUUGUCUACCCACCCCACCCCGCUCCACCGUGGGCACGGGUGAAAUGGGUUGCAGCUGCCUGGGUCACUGGUUAUAAACGUCCCAGUGCCCCACCGUCAUGCACAAACAGAGGAGCCAGAGCAGCAGCGACGACCAAUAUAUUCAAUUGUUUAUGAGCACGACCCUACAUGUUUUCCGGCCAUUAAGGAUGUACAUUCACCGGCACAACAUUUGAGCGCCCGUGUCGUCCUAGUCUCUGUUGCUGCUUUCCAUCUUACUAUUGUCCCUGACUAAGCCACAAAAGAGUUGGAAGAGCACGACAAAUAGGCCGAUCAACGCCAAGGAAAUGAAGGACUUGAAACCAGUCAAGAGGCGCUCUCCAGUCCCUAGCGUUCUGGUCUUCCUCGGUCCUCGGGGACUCCCAAUGAAAUUUGCAGAGACAGAGGCAAAAUUUCUUCAAUUAGCAAUCUGAAAAAAUGGAAGGAAAAGAUUCAGUAUAGAACACAAUAUGUUGUAUGAUAGUUUCAUAUUGGAUUAUUUGUGAAAUAGAAAACAAUAGCAGACUGCUACUAAGCAUAACCCAAAAGCUUAAAAAAACCCAUUGAGCUUUAAGAGCAGACUGCUAACUAUGUGAAGAGUUAGCACACAGGAAUGCUUCUUCGAAUAAGGAUCAUUAUUCCCUAACUCCCUCCUGGGCUGUACACAAAUGAGGAUCAUUAUGUCAAGUGGGUGCGGAUGCAAAGAUAUGACUGUCUUAGUAACAUACGUUCAAAAGAAAAAAAUAAUCUGGAUGCAGCUCAGCUCAGAAACCUCAAUUAGUAAAAAAAGUUACCUUCAUUGGUGGGAUACUUGUACAGCCAAUCUUUGCAACAGACCAAAGCUUCAAGAGUUUUUGGCGCCAUUGAGCUUCGAUUGUCACUAAGAAUUCGACCACUCAAGCUAAAUGUUGAUUCAGAAGAAACGGUGCUGAGUGGAAUUGCUAAGAAAUCGCGUGCCAUUGCUGACAACACAAGAUACUUGUUGGAGUUUGUCUUGCACCAAGUUAGAAUUUUAAAAUUUUGGAUCGUUGCAGAGGUAAGCUUCACCAUCUGACCCCCAACUCCUUCAUUGCUUUGUCAAAGUUCUUCUGGGUUCAGCAUACCUUUGGUGGCGUUAUUGAUGUAGACGGCUUUGUGCGUCUAUUUGAGCUGCACAUUCAAAAGAAGAGGGUGGUUUUUGAUAAUAUAGAUGGUACUUUUGAGAACCAUUUUGGUUGUUGCACCUUCCAGACCCAAAGGAAGAAUGAGAAACAAGGUCUCGAGAGGAUUCAGCUAUUUUUACUCAGAAAAACAGGUGGGAAGAUGAUUGGUUAAAUUAUUGGUUUUAUGUUAGGGUCGAGAUGAAAGACGGGGUCGGUCAGGCAACCUAUCCCUUUCAUACUACAAUAAUCCCUAUGGAUGUUGCUACGACUCCACCGGUCGCGAGGUCGAAGAUGAUGAAGAAGUGUGAAGGUGCCUUUGUGGCGGCUUCGGGCUCCGUGUUUGGUAGGGACUUGGUGGAAGAAUUCGUUGCGGCUCACAGGUGGCCACUUACUCCUGGCUGGGGGCCUCUUGAUGUGGAGUUUAGGGCGGUGCCGGGGAAAAGUAGUCCUCUGCUCUACUCUGUUAUUGACGCCAGCCAGUUGCCCAAAGAUUUCACCCCAAACGUGUAUGUUGAGGAUAUCGAGAGGCGUGCUGUUGACAUUAUUGGGCCUAUUUCUGCAGCUGAGAUUAAAUCGUUCAAGCUGGUGGUUAAACACGGGCUUCGCAUUAACCAAGUUUUGGAGAGUCUCGGGAUUGAGCUGCCUGUGCGACCGUUGCUUCGGGGGAAGAAAGCCUGUGGCCUAGGUGGCAGUGGGCGGGGGAAAAGGAAGAGGGGGGAGAGCUCUUCCCGAAGUGUCGCGCGAUCCGAUGCGACCUUGGAGGCUGCUAAAGCGAAGAUGAAAACGAGUGCCCUUGAGGCACAGAAGAAGAAGGAUAAGGCUUCUCAAGCAUCUUUCCUUAGCGGGGUAAAAAUGGUGAAGCCAAGAUCUUCGAGGCUGCCCCAACUAAAAUUGCUACCGAAGCUGGGAAAGGUGUUGCUGUAAAGGCUGUGAGACCUUUGAAGAAACCUCACUUCUCCCGGGUUCCGGAUGAGAACGACAUGGUUGUGGUGGACGCGGCAGCCCUUGCCGUUGCCAAGGCUAAGCGCGACAGUAAAAGAUCUAAAUUGUUCUCUGGCGCAGCAGAGCCGGCGGGUUUUCCCGAGGUUAGCAAUGUACAAGCUGGGCCGAGGGAUCCAAAGGAUAAAGGUGAGGGACCGGAGAUACGCGCUGUUGGGAGCCAAGCAGUGACGGCGCCUUUGCGGGUUGAGCGCAAGACUAAGAAAGAGAGGGUUAUGGAAGAGCUUGUGGCUGCCAGGAGGAAAGAGGUGGAUAAAAUUACCGAGGCUAUCAAGGAUCCAUCUUCGCAGACGGUGAAGUCAGGUAAUGAUGUUGUUGUGUGCUUGCCCAAGUUGAGAUUUUUUAGGUACACCGGAGGCUUGGAGAGGUUCUUACUAGAUUUGGAUAAUACCAUGGCUUCUCCUGGGGAGUUGUAUAGCGAAUCUCACAUGAGAUUGAUGGAGAGGCGUUAUUCUGCAGAUGCAAGGUUGUCCUCAUCCUUGAAGAGUUUUAACAAGGCCUUUGGCACGAAUGUGAGGAGGGAGAUUGUUGCAGCUGGUGCACCCGGGUUAGGUGAGGGUUACAACCCUUUGAAUUUAUGCUUGCCGUGGAUGGAUCGAUCUGAAAGGGUUCGGCACGACGCAUGUGCAGCGGUUGGAGGCAGCACCAAGAGCGAUAGGCUGGAAGUGAGGGAGAAGGGCGAAGUUGACUCAGUUGUGGUGGCAGACAAGAGCAGGUCUUACUAUACAAAUGUCGGUGACUAUGGGCCAUGUAGUCCUGAAGGUAAGAUUUUUCUUUGUUGUUCCUUGUUGCAUAUCGCAUGUUGUUAUUGGAGUUUUGACUGUUUAGUGAUUGUGCAGUGUUUAAAGAAGUUGUUAAGCGGCUGCGCGAUGAGGAGCUAGCGCGGAUAUUUGCUACCCUCGGGCAGAAGGUUUUGGCUUGGAGUCUUUGUUAAUUAUUAAUUUUAUUUUAUCAUUAUUUAAUUAACUGACAUGGUUUUUGUUUCGCGUAGUGCACGAUAGCUGGGGCAGAGGCAAAAGAGAGGGUAGAGGCCGAGGCGAAGGACUUGCUUCGCCCUUUCGGUGCCGAGCCAUAUCCCUUGCCGGCUGAUGGCGAUGUCGCGGAUGUUUGUGAGUGGAUGAAGAAUGAGUUCGAAAGCCUGUCCGAAGUCAUAACUGGUCUUAAUGAUUAUGCCACAAAUUUCUACUUGGAAAGUACCCUUCAACUCCUUGAGGCUGAGGACUGCGAUCACUUCAUGACGCUUGGAGGGGAGGAGUACAAAUUCCUGCUGGCUUCGGAGUUAGGUGCCUGAGAGAAAACUGGGAAUGUGAGAGCGGUUAAGCGGAGUAUUUUCAGGCGACUCUGGGCUACAACUGGCAUAGAGUACAUUCAAUAGCUUGCCAAGGAAAGGCUGAAGCGGGAGAAGGAAACGGCGGCCAAGCUCGAAGCUGAGGAGAAAGGUGAUGACGAAGCUAGUGCACCUUAGACUGGGUAGAGUGCUGGGGGCUCAGGAAUUCUUGUGAAAAACUUUUGAAAAAGACAUUUUUUUGUCUUGUAAUAGCGUUGUAGUCGUGGCGUUUGAUGACAUUUGAAUUGUGGCCGAAGCGGUUUGACAGUUAUUUUCUAGGAAUGUGUAAAUGCGUUUUUUUGGUGGUGAAGUGCCAUGCUUACUUUUUUAGUUUCUUGCGUACUUGUGCUCCUUUGUUUUGCAGGGGCUUGGAGUUUUUCUUUGGGCUAGCUUCGCUAGGCCUGUUGCGGCUUGCUCCUGCGAAAGGGCGGUUUAAGAGGAUGGUUUGUUUGAAAAAGAACGUCACCUCCCACAUAUGUGGAAGGAGGAAAUUUGAGCAGAUGUUACUCGGGAUGUUUCCUGUCGUUACGGUGCUUUGCACUUGUGGCCAGGGGACGGAAAAGAGUAGAUGGCGAAGAGAAGAAAGGUUGUGACCAAAGGGGCAAUUUUUGUAAUGUUUUGAUUAUUUUUGGAAAAAGGGGCUGGAGCGCGCUUUAUACUGUAAAGUAGAUAAGUCGGUACAAAACUCGAAACUGGGUUUUGCUGACUUAGAGAAUAACAAGAGUUUGGUUGAUAUCGCAACUUAGGGUUGCUGCAACCUUAGAGUUUGUGUUGUGACUUUUCUUGGUGUAAAGUGUUUUGCCAGAGCUUCGUGAACAGGGUGGCAGGCUGAAACCUCGAGUUGUCCUGGCGGAGGUCGGGGGGGGGGGGAAUUGCCAAAAGAAAUUGUCCCCCCUUAGCUUUGUUCCGCUUGGCCGAAGUUGCGGGUUAUCCUUGCGAAAGGUUGAUGAAAAGGCCAGCACAUUUUUUUUUAGAAAACAUCACCCCCCCUCCUUCUAGCUUUCGCAAGGGGAACUAAAAGAUGUCUUUCCCUUCUUGGUGCCCGUGCGGAGAGUAGGCCGUUGAGCCGAAGCCGCGAUCCUUUCUCGUGAAAGGCAGGCAAGGGUAGGUAAAAAAAAAGUCAGCCCUCCUUCUAGCUUUCGCGAGAAAAAAGAGCAUGCUGGGGCGAGCCUGCCUUUGAGAAGGGUUGCUUCAGGCAAAGCGGAACUAGUGAAUAGUUUUUCCUAAGGUCGUGGCCAUUGCAGAGAAUAGGCUAGUUUACCUGAGUGGGGGGGAGGCAGAGAAGUUCAUAAUACUUAAUUUGCGCAUAAAGCACGCUUUAUAAUGAUACGUAAUUUGUUAGAGUACUUGGUCAUACGAGGCACGAGGUUACGCAACUUGUUCUUGCUUUGUUAUGGGAGAUAUAUACCUUUUUUCCUCCGCGUGAAAGCGUGAGGUCAUGCAACUUGUUGUUGCUUUUUAAAUGAAAAACAUACUUUUCUCCUCCGCAUGAAAGCGCGAGGUCAUGCAACUUGUUGUUGCUCUUGUGAAUGUAAAACGUAGUUUUCUCCUUCGCAUGAAAGCGCGAGGUCACGCAACUUGUUGUUGCUCCUGUGAAUGAAAAACGUACUUUUCUCCUCUGCAUGAAAGCGCGAGGUCACGCAACUUGUUGUUGCUCUUGUGAAAGCGACUGCAGGGGGAAUUUUACUUUAUUAUGCAUCGAGAAUUUUUACAUGGAUCUGCCUCGUUAAAAACCUUGCCUCCAGAAUGGAGCCCCCCUAGUAAGGAAAAGAGUACAGUCCAGAUUCUAUGACAUGAAAAGUAAAUGCGGAAAAGAAAGUAAAGCUGUCGCCUUCGGCAUUGUUUAUAGUUCCACAAGCUAAAGGUGACGGACCUCUACGGAUAGUAUUUUCGCAGACUGUCUAUGUUCCAAGAAUGUGGUAAUUCCGUGCCGAGUUGGUCCGCCAGGUGAAAAGAACCUGGCCUACUACUUUUUUUAACAAUGUACGGUCCUUCCCAUGCUUCCUGCAGUUUGCUGGGGUUUUCCCAAUUCUUCGUUCUUUUUAUGACAAGGUCACCAAUUUUGAUUUCUCUGUGCAAUACUUUCUUGUCUCUCCAUCUCUUGGUUUCUUUUUGGUAUUUAUUAAUGUUGUCCAAAGCUUGAAUGAUGUCAAGCUCGAUCAUGUCCUUUUCAAUCUUGAUGACAUCCUGGAUGUCCUUAGUGCACAUGACUCUCAGGCUGUUGUUCUUGAUUUCUUCUGGUGUUACGACUUCGGAGCCGAAAAGCAGCCUGAAUGGCGUGAAGCUUGUAGCUUGAGAUUGGGUAGUGUUGUGCGACCAAAUUACCUUUGGGAGCUCAUCGAUCCAUUUUUCCUUCUUCUAGUCGAAUAGACAUUUCUUGAUUUUGCAGUGAAGAUUAAGCCAUUAGCUCUUUCUACCGCGCCGUUUGAUUACGGGUGGUAAACCGAGGAGAAUUUGACCUUUGUCCCGAGGCUGCCACAAAAUUCUUUGAAAUCGAUGCAAUCGAACUAUUUGCCAUUAUCAACGGUUAACUCCCUUGGUACUCCAAAUCUGCAAACGAUGUUUUGCCAAAAAGAACUUUUGUACUGAAGCUGAGGUUAUCAUUGCCAGAGGCUUCGCCUCAAUCCAUUUUGUGAAGUAAUCUAUGGCAACAGCUGCAAUUUGCAAUUACCCUGAGCUGUUGGGAGUGGGCCAACCAGAUCCAUUCCCCACCUUUGUAGUGGCCAUGAUGGUGGAAUGAGUUGUAUUGAGAGUGAUGGUGAGUGUCUCUGGUUUGCUGUCUUUUGGCAGGCUUUGCAGUUUCGGACAAGGUUUUGGGUGUCAUGUACGGCCGAAGGCCAAUAGAAUCCUUGCCUGAUAGCCUUGCUUACGAGAGCUCUUGAGCCAAUGUGAGAUCAAUAAAAACCCUUGUGAAUGUCGGCCAGCAGAUCUUUGCCUGUUUUGGCAUCGAUGCAACGAAGCAAGGGCAUUGAGAUUUCGGCCUUGUAAAGCUCUCCAUCAAUGAUUGCAUAUCCUCUUACUUUUUACUUGAGCCUAGUGAGCUUGUCUUUGUCGCAUGGCUCAAAGUGACCUGUAAUGUAUGCCAUUAUCUCGGCUCGCCAGUCGAAGCGCUGGAUCGCAUUUACAUACUUCAGAGUUGGUUCUUUGGUGGAUGGGGUCUCGAUGACUUCGUAGAACGUGUCGAGAGGAAUUGGUUCAUUCUGGGCUGCUGCUUUUGCGAGUUUGUCCGCCUCAUCAUUUUCUGCCCUCAGGAUAUGCUUGACGGCGAAUCCCCUGAAAUGUUUUUCCAUUGUUCUGACCGCUGUGAGAUACUUCACGAGCUCUGGCUCUUUAGCCUCGCUGUCUUUCUCGAUGUGCUCUUUGACCACCUUAGAGUUUGUUUUCACUAUGAAGGCCUGUUGUCCUAGAGCUUUCAUCUUUCUUAGUGCCAUAAGCAAUGCCUCAUACUCGGUUGUAUUGUUUGUUGAUCUUGUUCCUUUGGGGAAUUUUAGCCUCACGGCGUACCUUAUUUUUACGCCAGUUGGCAAGGUUACAAUUGCUGUUACUCCAGCCCCUCUGUCGCACCAGGCGCUGUCGCAAUAAACGAUCCAAGGUGUUUCAAUGUCGUCGCGACUGGCUUUUGGAGAUGUCCAGUCAUCGAUGAAAUCAACCAGGACUUGAGGUUUUAUGGCGCUUCUUCUUUCAAAAUCAACCACGAACUCUAAUAGCUUAGAUGCCCACUUAGUAAUUCUGCCCGAAGCUUCUCUAUUUGAGAAAAGAUCGUGGAGGGGUUGGUUUAUGACAGCCACAAUCCUAUGUCCCUCAAAGUAAUGACGUAGUUUGCAUGCUACCAUCACCACUGCAUAGGUGAUUUUCUCCAACUCUGAAUAGUGUAUCUUCGAUCCACUGAGGGCCUCAGAUGCGAAGUAAACUGGAAUUUGCUUUAGUUUGCCAUCGAUUUCCUUCUCCUGAAUCAGGGUGGCGCUUACCACCGUGCUCGAAGCUGAGAUGUAGAGCAGCAGUGGUGACUUGGGCUCGGGGGGGGGGGCAUAGCUUUGUUAUAGACUGCAUGUAGUCCUUGAGUUCUUGGAAUGCUUGGCACUGCUCUUCCCCUCCAUUCAAAGGUUUUGGAGUUUCGUAAGACCUUGAAGAAGGGUAGGCUUCACUCUACAGCACGGGGGAUAAAUCUAUUGAGGGCGGCCACUCUUCCGGUCAGCCGCUGAACGUCCUUGACCGAAGCUAGCUCCCUCAUUUCAAGGAGUGCCUGAAUUUUGUCGGGGUUGGCCUCGAUGCCCUUGGUGGUGACCAGACAGCCCAAUUCCUUGCCUCACUGAACCCCAAAUACACAUUUCUCAGGGUUUAGUCUCAGAUUUGGUGCCCUUAGGUUGGCAAAAGUUUCGGCAAGGUCACGGAUAUGAUCGGCCCUUUUGUCGCUUUUGACAACUAUGUCGUCGACGUAAGCAAUGUUCCUGCGAAGCUGGUUUGCUAGUACGAUGGCGGUCAUACUGGAGAAUGUUUGUCCUGCAUUUUUUAGUCCCUCCGGCAUUCGCACGAAGCAGAAUGUUCCGAAUGGUGUCACGAAACCUAUUUUUCCUUCAUCUUCCUUUUUUAUUCUGAUUUGGUGAUAGCCCGAGAAUAAGUCUAAUAGCGAGAGCAUUUCGCUGUUGGUAGCAUCAUCCACAACUUUGUUGACCCUUUCUAAUGGGUAAUUGUCUUUGGGGCAAGUUUUGUUCAAAUCUGUGAAAUCGAUACACAUUCUCCAUCUGCCAUUCUUUUUCCUAACAGGUACAGUGUUGGCAAGCCAUUUCGGAUAGAGGAUGGGUCUGAUCACAUUGGCUUCGAGUAGUUUGUCUACUUUUGCUUUUACUGCAUGGACCUUCUCGUCAGACAUUUUUCUUAGCUUUUGAUUUUUUGGCUUUGCCCCUGGUCUAAUGUCAAGGCUGUGCUCAAUAAUCUCUCUGUCUACCCCCUGGAGAUCGCUUGCGGACCAGGCGAAGACGUCUUUAUUCUUGUUCAGAAAUGCAAUCAGCUCAUGCUCUUCUCUGGGUUCGAGGUUAGCUCCGAUAGUCACGUACCUGUCGGCGAUGUAGCCAUCCAAGAGGACUCUUUUGGUUUCGCUGUCUGCACUUAUCUUUAUUUUCUCUUUGUCUCUCUUGGGUUCGACAUAGGGUUUCUUCAUUUCGUGCUCUUCAGAUUUGCUUGCAGCUGCGAGAUGAUGGACAUUCUUUUGUCCCAGAGUUGAAACCCUCUCAAUGUUUCUUGCCGUUUGCUGAUCUCCAUACACGGUGAUCACUCCUUUGAGGGCUGGCAGUUUCAUGCAGAGGAAGAGCUGUCUGAUGGUUGCAUCCAUUUUGUUUAUGAAACCUCGCCCGAGGAUGUGAAGUAGGGGUAGCACAUUUUGACCACAUCGAAAGUGAUGUGCUCUGUUCUCGCGUUGUUGAGGUUUCCAAAUGACACUGGCAGGGAAAUUUUUCCAAGAGCUUUGAUUGGUCUGCCGUCGAAACCAAGCAAUGUGACUUCGGGCGGUUUGAGGAGGUGAGGGUCAAUCUUCAUCUCUCCGAAGGUAUUGGCGAAUAUGAUAUCUGCAGAGCUGCUUGUAUCAACCAAGACUUUCCCUAUCUUCCAAUUUGCGAUAAUUGCCUCUAUCACCAUCACAUUGUUAUGCAUGGCCAUUUUCAAUGUGAAAUCAUCCUCUGUGAAGGUGAUUGGCAUGUGCGCCCAUUCUGGCUUCGCUGGGGGGCCAUCGAGGAUGAUGGUGUUUACUUGUCUGAAGUAGUCUCACUUCUGCCUUUUGGUUUCAAACUUGAGGGUGGACCCACCAGUGACUGGCAUUAUCAUGCCGAAGGUUGGUAUGGGUUGGAGUUUGCUUCGCGAAAGUCAGACAGUGAAGACCCUCCGGAGAUAGGCAUUAUCGUGCCAUAAGUUGGUAUUGCGUUAGGAUUGCUGCUUGGUGGGUUUGGUUUAGCUUUUGGGAUUUUGUUUGGCAAGUUUGGUGGUGGUAGCGGUAUCUCGUGGCGAGGCUGAGGUGGGAUGUUUGUGUUUUGUGGUUGGAAGGUGUGCGAAGGUUGCCAGGUUAUCGGUGGUUGGAAGUUUGCAAGGCUAGCUGGGCUUGGGUAAUAUGUUGGAUGUGGGUAGAAGGUUGUAUGAUGGAUAGUUUUUGGUGCUUUUGCGGCUUCUUCGGCUGCUUUCUUUUCUGCCUCUCUUUUUGCGCCUUCCAGAGUUAUGGGACACCAGUCAGUUGCAUGAUUGAACUGCUUUCCAUAGAAUAUGCAAUGGAAUGGCCUUUGUUGUUUAGGCUGAUUAUUUGGCCUCGGAGGGCCAUUGCUUUGGCCUCUUCCUCUGUCGUUGUGUCCACCUCUGUGGUUGUUGGGAAAGUUGUUAUGGUUUUGGUGGUGCUGGUUUUGAGCUUGGUUGUGGGUGUGAUUUUGGGUUUGGUGCGAGGGCUGAUUGCCUUCGAUUGUCAUCACGCGGUGGGGUUGAUUCUGUGUGUGAUUGUAUAGUGAAGCCUGCCAAUUUCUAUUUUUUUCUGUUUGUCUGUGACUGUUUCUUUCGGCCACCGUUCGUCUGUGGUCUUCAUCUGACCUGAUGUAUUUCUCUAGCUCUGCGAAUAGUUCUUCCAUUGUUUUGGGUUUCUUUCUUGUUAGCUUCGACGCUGUCAAUCCUGGGUUGAGCCCCGCGAUGCAUGUUGAAAUCGCGAUACAGUCAGCCACAUGUGGCGUCUGCGACCGAAGUUGUACAAAUCUCCUGACAUAGCUGGCGAGGGUCUCUUUAUAUUUUGUUUGCAAUGGAAAAGGUCGGCUCCGUCAGUCAUGGUUUGAUGGAAGCCUUGGAAGUUCUGAGUUAACUUUAUUUUCAAAUCUACCCAACUGCAUACUGAGUGUGGAUGUAGCAGUGAGUACCAGUUUAGUGCUGCCCCCUCGCAAGCUAUGAUGAAUGAUUUUGCUAGUACGACAUCGUCCCCCCCAACCGAGGCUAUAGCAGCUUCAUAGCUCAUUAGAAAUUGGCGUGGGUCUAUCUGGCCAUUGAACUUAGGCAAAGCAAUUGACCUGUAGGUGGCAGGCCAUGGGGCAGUUUGAAGUCCGAUUGACAGUGGGGAGCUCUUGUCAAAGACUCCAUAUGUAUUCAUUGUAGGUGGAGGGUCAUGAGGACUGAAGUCAGGGUUGGUGUAUAUGACCCGUGUAGGACCAGUGUUGAAGGCUUGGGUAGAUGGCGGCGUUGGUUGUUGCGGUAUGCCUUGAAGGUACUCGAGUUCCUUUAAUUCUCGCUGUAACUCUUCUAACUGCUUUUUGGCCUCGUUCAACAUUGCUGCCCUGUUGGCUGCUUCUCUUUGAGCUUGCAGUUGCUGUGCGAACCUUUCUUUCUGCCUUUUCAUUUCUUCGAGUUGCCUCAGGAUCGAAGCUAGCUCGUCCUCUGAGUUGCUUGGGGCUUCAUCUUCUGUAUCUAUUUGCGGCUGAUCUUUGUUAGGUGUCCUGUGCGGCAUUUGCUUUCAGUGCUUUUGCUUUGAGGACCUCUUCGACUCUCCUGUAACUCUCUUCCCUAUCCGUGGCGAUCUGCUGAACUGGCUCGGAUCAAACAAGUUGCCUGCCCAUUGCAACUUCGGGCUCGGAUGUGGUCUUCUUCUUCUUCUUCUUCUUCUUCUUCUUCUUCUUCUUCUUCUGGGGUGGCAUCGUGGGUUUCUUAGUGGCUUAAAGCACGGUGGGUGCCAAAUGUUGGAUUGUAACUUCUUGCGAAGUUAAGACUCAACAAGAUUAACAAAGGAAUGGGAAUACGAAUCGUCACUUCAUUGAAAGACGUAAUGCCCUUUUACAAUGGGAGGAGGCCCCCCUUUUAUAAUGCUCGGAAUGCCCGUGCACUUUACAUAGUUGCCCUCACUCAACUGCUACAUUUCCAGAAUAUUCCUUACAUUUGAGUCAUUCGUGCGUCACGUUUUUAGAGCUAUUCUGAUAGUCCCGUGAUUUCCGCUCUCACAAGGCUCCGUGAUUUAUACUCCUUUCGUUGCUCACCCCAUCGUGUUUCCCAGCUUUGCACCCGAGGCCCAGCUUGUCCUCGGGCGCUUUGGCCUUCUCGCCGGUGAUUUUCCUUCUAGGGUGAGCUUCGGGCGUCACGUUGUCCUCAACCAUUCGCCCUAAGCUCGCUCAACCUCGGUCGCGCUUGUCUUCCUCCCUGCACACUGACGCUAAAGCAAGAUCAUCAGGUUAGGAAAAAUGUUGAUUCACCCUGCCUUCGGCUCCAAGCCUCACAUGACACCCGAAACCGGGAAGUUAUUCCUGAAGCUGUGAGCUUCGCAAGGACCCGUGUUGUUGCUUGUUUCGACCGACCUCGAGGGUGGCCAUGCUUUUGGGCGAUCCCCAACAGGAGAUAUUAAAAGUCCAAUUUUAGCAUGGAAGGCCAUGCCAAGUAUGACCACAUCUUAUAGAUGGAAUAGUAUCCGUAGGCUAGAAUGAUAAGAUUGCGCUUUUCAGACUAGUGUAGUUACUUGCACUAAUGCAGAAGCCAGCAGUCCAGGCCCGCUAUUAAGGCCAUGCAUUGUUGCCCUUUUUCCAAGCGUACUGCAUCCUGAGGUCAAGUAGUGGAUACACAUAGACACAUGGUAUCUUGUAAUGCUAAUAAUGUUCCUGAGAGGGCACCUGAUUUUCAUCCUACAGUAUGGGGUGAUUUUUUCUUCAACUACAGCCCAGAACUACUACAUGCAUGGUUAUGUAUAUUUAUGGCUGUUAUGUAGAAUGCUAUGUUCCAGCCUGUUUGUGUUUCUUUCAGUUUUAUUUUAAGUAUAUGAAAAAAUAGCUUUGAGUCCUUGGUUUCUCUCUCUCUGGUAUAUACUGUUUGGAUGCGCUUCUGAUGUGCCUCACCUUGGCUUAGUUUGACUUCUGACCGCUUGGCAAACUAGACAUGAUGAUCACCCAAUAUUCAUAGGCACGCCCGGAAAUGCAAUUCCAGAAUGUUUGAGGAAAACUGAAUUGUAGGGACGCUUGAUUGAUGGAUGUUCUAGCAAUGCAAAAGUCCAUUGUUACAUAUAAGUGAUUUAACCACUUUUUUUAAAAUUAAAAUUUUCAAGUAGACAGCAAUGUAGACGCAUUUUUCUCCAAUCGAAGAACUACAUUGCUGUCACAUUAACCACGUAACGGGCGACACCACAUCAUCAGACUGUUAUCUUCUUCAUUCACAACCUGCUAGUUCGUGACUGAAUGGGCAAACGUACCGUUACAGUAACAUGGGAUUCAAUGGCUGUAUCUUCUUCAAUCACAAAGGAUGUUGAGUCCUGAGUGUCGGUGGCUGGCCGCUGUCCACACACUCCACAGCCAUGGCCUUUUAAAAGCAUUGUAACAAAGCAAAGCAUUGUAACAAAGCUCUUUUUUCUAAAUCUCUGGUCAACCUCAUUUAGCCAUGACCACGCAUUGGUGGGAUGCAAAUUUGUGACGUUAAGC